rnacentral:tRNA from 1 species
ACCUGGGUGGCUCAGUCAGUUAAGCGUCUGACUUCGGAUCAGGUCCCUCAUCUGAUGGUUCGUGGGUUCGAGCCCCACAUUGGGCU